rnacentral:rRNA from 1 species
CGAGUGCUUGCACUCAAUUGGAAAGAGGAGUGGCGGACGGGUGAGUAACACGUGGGUAACCUACCCAUCAGAGGGGGAUAACACUUGGAAACAGGUGCUAAUACCGCAUAACAGUUUAUGCCGCAUGGCAUAAGAGUGAAAGGCGCUUUCGGGUGUCGCUGAUGGAUGGACCCGCGGUGCAUUAGCUAGUUGGUGAGGUAACGGCUCACCAAGGCCACGAUGCAUAGCCGACCUGAGAGGGUGAUCGGCCACACUGGGACUGAGACACGGCCCAGACUCCUACGGGAGGCAGCAGUAGGGAAUCUUCGGCAAUGGACGAAAGUCUGACCGAGCAACGCCGCGUGAGUGAAGAAGGUUUUCGGAUCGUAAAACUCUGUUGUUAGAGAAGAACAAGGACGUUAGUAACUGAACGUCCCCUGACGGUAUCUAACCAGAAAGCCACGGCUAACUACGUGCCAGCAGCCGCGGUAAUACGUAGGUGGCAAGCGUUGUCCGGAUUUAUUGGGCGUAAAGCGAGCGCAGGCGGUUUCUUAAGUCUGAUGUGAAAGCCCCCGGCUCAACCGGGGAGGGUCAUUGGAAACUGGGAGACUUGAGUGCAGAAGAGGAGAGUGGAAUUCCAUGUGUAGCGGUGAAAUGCGUAGAUAUAUGGAGGAACACCAGUGGCGAAGGCG